ACCUCUGAGGUAGAUAGCUCAACUGGUAGAGAAUGAGACUCUUUAAUCUCAGCGUCAUGGGUUCAAGCACCAUAUUGGGUG